rnacentral:rRNA from 1 species
CCAAUAGCGUAUAUUAAAGUUGUUGCAGUUAAAAAGCUCGUAGUUGAAUUUCGGGGUCAGUAGGUUGGUCAUGCCACUGGUAUGUACUGGUCUCACUGAUUCCUCCUUCCUGAUGAGCCGUAAUGCCAUUAAUUUGGUGUUGCGAGGAAUCUGGACUGUUACUUUGAAAAAAUUAGAGUGGUUAAAGCAGGCUAACGCUUGAAUACAUUAGCAUGGAAUAAUGAAAUAGGACGUUCGAUCUUAUUUUGUUGGUUUCUAAGAUUGACGUAAUGAUUAAUAGGGAUAGUUGGGGGCAUUAGUAUUCAAUUGUCAGAGGUGAAAUUCUUGGAUUUAUUGAAGACUAACUACUGCGAAAGCAUUUGCCAAGGAUGUUUUCAUUAAUCAAGAACGAAAGUUAGGGGAUCGAAGACGAUCAGAUACCGUCGUAGUCUUAACCAUAAACUAUGCCGACUAGGGAUCGGAUGAUGUUAAUUUUUUAAUGACUCAUUCGGCGCCUUACG